CCUACGGGAGGCUGCAGUGAGGAAUAUUGGUCAAUGGACGAGAGUCUGAACCAGCCACGCCGCGUGAAGGACGACGGCCCUAUGGGUUGUAAACUUCUUUUAUAAGGGAGUAAAUGCCGGUACGUGUGUCUUUUUGCAUGUACUGUACGAAUAAGGAUCGGCUAACUCCGUGCCAGCAGCCGCGCUAAUACGGAGGAUCCGAGCGUUACCCGGAUUUAUUGGGUUUAAAGGGAGCGUAGGUGGGUUGUUAAGUCAGUUGUGAAAGAUUGCGGCUCAACUGUAGAAUUGCAAGUGAUACUGUCAGUCUAGAGUACAGUUGAGGUAGGCAGAAUUCAUGGUGUAGCGGUGAAAUGCUUAGAUAUCAGGAAGAACACCGAUAGCGAAGGCAGCAUACUAAACUGUGACUGACGUUGAGGCGCGAAAGUGUGGGUAGCAAACAGGAUUAGAUACCCGAGUAGUC
rnacentral:rRNA from 1 species